rnacentral:rRNA from 1 species
GCUUAAAGGGGCCGUAGCUUGAUAAUAGGGUCCCUUGAGAAAUCCGCCGGCUUAACUGGCGGGCGUUCAGGGGAAACUUGUUUUCUAGGGACCGGGAGAGGUGAGGGGUACUGCCGGGGUAGGAGUGAAAUCCUGUAAUCCCGGUGGGACCACCUAUGGCGAAGGCAUCUCACCAGAACGGGUCCGACAGUGAGGGACGAAAGCUGGGGGAGCAAACCGGAUUAGAUACCCGGGUAGUCCCAGCUGUAAACUAUGUGCGUUAGGUGUGUCAGUGACCACGUGUCACUGAGGUGCCGAAGGGAAACCGUGAAACGCACCGCCUGGGGAGUACGGUCGCAAGGCUGAAACUUAAAGGAAUUGGCGGGGGAGCACCACAACGGGUGGAGCCUGCGGUUUAAUCGGACUCAACGCCGGGAAUCUCACCGGAUAAGACAGCUGAAUGAUAGUCGGGAUGAAGACUCUACUUGACUAGCUGAGAGGAGGUGCAUGGCCGUCGUCAGUUCGUACUGUGAAGCAUCCUGUUUAGUCAGGCAACGAGCGAGACCCACGCGAGCAGUUGCCAGCUUGACCUUCGGGUUGAUGGGGACACUGCUCGGACCGCCUCUGCUAAAGGGGAGGAAGGACUGGGCAACGGUAGGUCAGCAUGCCCCGAAUUAUCCGGGCUACACGCGGGCUACAAUGGACAGGACAAUGAGUUUCGACACCGAGAGGUGAGGAUAAUCUUCUAACCCUGUCCCAAGUUCGGAUUGCGGGUUGUAACUCACCCGCAUGAAGCUGGAAUCCGUAGUAAUCGCGUUUCAACAUACCGCGGUGAAUAUGUCCCUGCUCCUUGCACUCACCGCCCG